ACGCACGCUGGCGGCGUGCUUAACACCUGCAAGUCGAACGUGAUUUUUGUGGAAAUUCUUUCGGGAAUGGAAAUGAAAUGAAAGUGGCGAACGGGUGAGUAACACGUGAGCAACCUACCUUACACAGGGGGAUAGCCGUUGGAAACGACGAUUAAUACCGCAUGAGACCACAGAAUCGCAUGAUAUAGGGGUCAAAGAUUUAUCGGUGUAAGAAGGGCUCGCGUCUGAUUAGCUAGUUGGAAGGGUAAAGGCCUACCGAGGCGACGAUCAGUAGCCGGUCUGAGAAGAGGAACGGCCACAGUGGAACUGAGACACGGUCCAAACUCCUACGGGAGGCAGCAGUGGGGAAUAUUGCACAAUGGGGGGAAACCUGAUGCAGCGACGCCGCGUGAGCGAAGAAGGUUUUCGAAUCGUAAAGCUCUGUCCUAUGAGAAGAUAAUGACGGUAUCAUAGGAGGAAGCCCCGGCUAAAUACGUG
rnacentral:rRNA from 1 species